rnacentral:rRNA from 1 species
CGAGUCCGAGUCUCCACGGAGACGAAGUGGCGGUCAUCCAGCUUCCUAGAAAAGCUCUAACCACGUUAAUCUUUAGUUGCCUGUACCCGAAACCGACACAGGUAGGGGGGUAGAGAAUACCAAGGGGCGCGAGAUAACUCUCUCUAAGGAACUCGGCAAAAUGACCCCGUAACUUCGGGAGAAGGGGUACCACUGAGAAGUGGUCGCAGUGAAGAGGCCCAGGCGACUGUUUACCAAAAACACAGGUCUCCGCCAAGUCGCAAGACGAAGUAUGGGGGCUGACGCCUGCCCAGUGCCGGAAGGUUAAGGAAGUGGGUUAGGGAUUCGUCCCGAAGCUGACGACUGAAGCCCCGGUGAACGGCGGCCGUAACUAUAACGGUCCUAAGGUAGCGAAAUUCCUUGUCGGGUAAGUUCCGACCCGCACGAAAGGCGUAACGAUCUGGGCGCUGUCUCGGAGAGAGGCUCGGCGAAAUAGGAAUGUCUGUGAAGAUACGGACUACCUGCACCUGGACAGAAAGACCCUAUGAAGCUUUACUGUAGCUUGGAAUUGGGUUCGGGCUUGGUUUGCGCAGGAUAGGUGGGAGGCGAAGAAGAUUUGCUUGUGGGUGAAUCUGAGCCAACGGUGAGAUACCACUCUAACCAGGCUAGAAUUCUAACUUCAACCCGUCAACCGGGGGAAGGACAGUUUCAGGUGGGCAGUUUGACUGGGGCGGUCGCCUCCUAAAAGAUAACGGAGGCGCACAAAGGUUCCCUCAGGCUGGUUGGAAAUCAGCCAACGAGUGCAAAGGCAGAAGGGAGCUUGACUGCGAGACCUACAAGUCAAGCAGGGUGGAAACACGGUCUUAGUGAUCCGACGGCACCGAGUGGAAGGGCCGUCGCUCAACGGAUAAAAGUUACUCUAGGAUAACAGGCUGAUCUCCCCCAAGAGUUCACAUCGACGGGGAGGUUUGGCACCUCGAUGUCGGCUCAUCGCAACCUGGGGCGGAAGUACGUCCCAAGGGUUGGGCUGUUCGCCCAUUAAAGCGGUACGUGAGCUGGGUUCAGAACGUCGUGAGACAGUUCGGUCCAUAUCCGGUGUAGGCGCAAGAACAUUGAGAGGAGUCUUCCUUAGUACGAGAGGACCGGGAAGAACGCACCGCUGGUGUACCUGUUAUCGUGCCAACGGUAAACGCAGGGUAGCCAAGUGCGGAGUGGAUAACCGCUGAAAGCAUCUAAGUGGGAAGCCCACCUCAAGAUGAGUGUUCUCAUGGAGUAAUCCAGUAAGGUCACGGGAAGACGACCCGUUGAUAGGCGGUAGGUGGAAGUUCAGCAAUGGAUGAAGCCGAGCCGUACUAACAGACC